rnacentral:rRNA from 1 species
GGUACUCGCGAAUGCCUCUAGAUUAGACGUUUGAUCAUGGCUCAGACUGAGACCGCUUGGCGUGCAAUGCUUAACACAUGCAAGUCGAGCGGGGAAGUGGUAGCUUGCUACCUGACCUAGCGGCGGACGGGUGAGUAAUGCUUAGGAAUCUGCCUAUUAGUGGGGGACAACAUCUCGAAAGGGAUGCUAAUACCGCAUACGUCCUACGGGAGAAAGCAGGGGAUCUUCGGACCUUGCGCUAAUAGAUGAGCCUAAGUCGGAUUAGCUAGUUGGUGGGGUAAAGGCCUACCAAGGCGACGAUCUGUAGCGGGUCUGAGAGGAUGAUCCGCCACACUGGGACUGAGACACGGCCCAGACUCCUACGUGGAGGCAGCAGUGGGGAAUAUUUGGACAAUUGGGGGGAACCCGGAUCCAGCCAUGCCGCGUGUGUGAAGAAGCUUUGGU